rnacentral:rRNA from 1 species
UUGAACGCUGGCGGCAUGCCUUACACAUGCAAGUCGAACGGUAACAGGUCUUCGGAUGCUGACGAGUGGCGAACGGGUGAGUAAUACAUCGGAACGUGCCCGAGAGUGGGGGAUAACGGAGCGAAAGCUUUGCUAAUACCGCAUACGAUCUACGGAUGAAAGCAGGGGACCGCAAGGCCUUGCGCUCAUGGAGCGGCCGAUGGCAGAUUAGGUAGUUGGUGGGAUAAAAGCUUACCAAGCCGACGAUCUGUAGCUGGUCUGAGAGGACGACCAGCCACACUGGGACUGAGACACGGCCCAGACUCCUACGGGAGGCAGCAGUGGGGAAUUUUGGACAAUGGGCGCAAGCCUGAUCCAGCCAUGCCGCGUGCAGGAUGAAGGCCUUCGGGUUGUAAACUGCUUUUGUACGGAACGAAAAGACUCCUUCUAAUAAAGGGGGUCCAUGACGGUACCGUAAGAAUAAGCACCGGCUAACUACGU